AUCUCCUCCGGGGCCAGCGGGGAUCGAACUCAUGUGGAGGCCAGGCGCAGCUCGACAUCGGAGCCCUUCCACAUCCAGCAUGGUGUGUGACAUACGGGGACAUUCAACACAAGGGGUCAGGGCAGCUGGACAGGUUGUUAGGCCAAGAGAGCUGGCUUCGGGAGCGAUGGCGAUGAGGGUGGUGGCCACGGCAGUGAGGACCACGGUGGAGGCACCUCCUGAUUGUUGGAGGUUACCCAGCAGCUGCAAAUAAACGCGGUGACUUCAUCUUGAGUUUACAGAUGAGAAAACAGACUCAGCAAGGUCCAGCCUUAAAGGCAGAGUGAGUUAGAAAGGGUAACAUUGCUGUCAUCUUCCAAAUCCGGUCUGCACAGGUCACAGGUGGGGCUGUUCAGAUGGCGCCUCCUCCAUGGCCCCAGAGAGCCUCCUGCCCAGGGCUGCUCGUGGCCCUCAGCCUCUUCAGCAUCAGUGUGGCUGGUGUUGACCUUAAGGCGUUUUGCUCUAGGCAGUUUAUGGGCCUGCUGAUGUGUGACCUUUCAUAAGGAAUGAGCAGGAAAUCCAGACUUCUGUUAGAAUUUU